rnacentral:rRNA from 1 species
UACAGAGGUCCCAAGCGUUGUUCGGAUUCAUUGGGCGUAAAGGGUGCGUAGGCGGCGCGGUAAGUCGGGUGUGAAAUCUCGGAGCUUAACUCCGAAACUGCAUUCGAUACUGCCGUGCUUGAGGACUGGAGAGGAGAUCGAUUGGAAGUUACGGUGUAGCGGAUGAAUGCGUAGAUAUCGUAAGGAAGACCAGUGGCGAAGGCGGGUCUCUGGACAGUUCCUGACGCUGAGGCACGAAGGCCAGGGGAGCAAACGGG